UUAUUAAUUAAUUAAAUUGAUUGAAUCAGUUAAAGUUUGGUCGAAAUCAUGUUAGUUUGAGUUUUGAGUCACGUCAACAUUUGUCAAAAUUUCAUGAAAACAUGUUCAACUAAAUUAAAGAUUCUCGACCAAGAAAUGGUAUCAUACAUCUAUGAAGCAAUCGGUAAUAUUUUGGGAGUAGAAAAACCCCCCGAAGAGCUCGGAGAUCCCAUUGAUUUCGAACCGGGACUUCUGCUAGACAGUGGCAUAUCAUGGGUUUAUACUUUUAGAAAAAUGUUGAUUCCGGUAGAGAUAAGAACAAACAAAUUGUGUCCAUCUCAGUGCGAUUGUGAACGUGCAGGAAAAUGUAAAGUGUGAUAAUAAAUUCAACUGACCACAGAACGAGAGAUUUGACCUGUAAUUUCUUAAAUAUUUUAUUUCUAAUUAAAUACUGCCCAUGUC